UUUUUUGUUUUUUUGUAAUUUCUUUCUUUUAUUUAUUUUCCCUUUCUGUUUUAUUUAGUUUUAGGGCAUUUAGGCAUUUUAUAAAAAGGUGUUUGCUUCACCAUAAUUACCAGUGCAAUAUUUGGCAACCCCCGAACAUUUUCGCUUUGACUUUUGAAAACUUAGGGUGUUUGUCACUAAUUCAUAUUUUGAAUUUGCAAUGAUUUUGAACUACCACUUGAUUAGCAACAGUAACACGGAUGACAAGGCAUCAUUAGAAGAGUUUUACUGUAGCCUAAUUAUCCGGGCGUUACAAAUCUCCUCCACUACAAGAAAUCUCGUCCCGAGAUUUAGGAGGUAGAAGGAAACAGUGCGGGGUAUUCAUCACGCAGGCGAUCCUCACGUUCCCAAGUGGCUUCAUCUUCAGAAUGGUGCGACCACUGGACUUUGAGGAACUUGAUCGCCUUCUGGCGUGUGCGGCGUUCAGCUUGGUCGAGAAUGCGGACUGGAUGCUCUUUAUAGGAGAGAUCCUGUUGCAAUUCGAGCACUUCAUGAUCCACUCCUCGGAUCGGGUCCUUGAAGCAACAGCGGAGCUGUGAUACAUGGAACACAUCGUGAACCUGAGAAAGGUUCGGCGGAAUCUCCAGUUGAUAUGCCACUUUUCCACGCCUCUCGAGAAUAGUGAAUAGGCCAAUAUAGCGAGGAUCUAGCUUUCCCUUGAUCCCGAAGCGGUGAGCACCCUUCAUUGGUGUAACUCGAAGAUAGGCCUUUUCGCCAGGUUGAUAGACCAUGUCUUUAUGAUGACGGUCAUAAUUACUCUUUUGGCGUGACUGAGCAGUCUUGAGAUUCUUGCGAAUAAUGCGGACUUGCUCUUCGGCAUGUUGGAUAAUAUCCGGACCGAAGAGUGGACGUUCCCCAGUUUCUGACCAGUUCAGAGGGGUUCGGCACUUUCGUCCAUAUAACACUUCGAAGGGGGCCAUCUUCAGACUAGCUUGAUAGCUAUUAUUAUAAGAGAACUCAGCAUACGGGAGAGAUUCCUCCCAUUUCUUGCCGAAGGAAAUAACACAAGCUCGAAGCAUGUCUUCGAGAACUUGGUUGACACGUUCAACUUGCCCUUGUGACUGCGGAUGAAACGCAGUACUGAAAGAUAAGUGAGUACCCAUAGCUUCUUGAAAAUUUGCCCAGAAUCUUGAAGUGAAUAAGCUGCCACGGUCCGAACUGAUAACCAGUGGAAUACCGUGAAGUGAAACAAUUCUGGACAUGUAGAGCGUUGCAAGCUGACUAGCAGUGAUCGUUUCUUUGACUGCCAGAAAAUGUGCAACUUUAGAAAGCCGGUCAAUGACGACAAGAAUAGCAUCAUUACCUUUCUGCGAUUUGGGAAAUCCAGUGACGAAGUCCAUUUCAACAUGGUCCCAUUUCCAUUCAGGAAUAGAGAUAGGUUGUAGAGUUCCAGCAGGCCUUUGAUGUUCUGCUUUGAUACGACAGCAAACGUCACAUUCAGCAACAUAACGAGCAAUGUCUCGCUUCAUAUUAGACCACCAGAAUCUCUGACGAAUGUCUUGGUACAUCUUGGUGCUACCGGGAUGAAUAGACAAAGGCGUAUCAUGAGCUUCUUUCAUAACUUUUGGAGUCAGAUUCAGGUUUUCCCUCUUACUCGGUACCACUAGGCGACCUUUGAAGAAUAGGGUGCCUGCGUCAUCCACAGUGAAGAAUGAGGGCUUUCCUUCUGCGAGAUAACGUUUAAUCCUCUCGACUUCAUCGUCACAUUUCUGUAUCCAUUUGAUGGUGUCCACAAGAUCUAGUUUCGCAACCAGGGUAUUGAGAGAACCCCUGGAAACAACAUGGAGGUUCAUCUUGCGUAACUCCAGAGGAGGGGGAGCGAGUGCACCCGGAGGAACAAUAUGGAGGUUCAGCUUUCUGAAUUCUUCAACGAGUGAGGGCUGAACUUUGUGAACCUGGAGGUGGUUGCAGUAAGACUUGCGGCUCAAGGCAUCAGCCAUUACAUUAGCCUUGCCUGGUGUAUAGGAAAUACCCAAAUCAAAGUCUGCAACAGUCUCCAUCCAUCUCUGCUGACGGAGGUUCAGGUCUGGCUGAGUAAACAGAUACUUCAGACUUUGGUGGUCAGUGAAGAUCUCGCAACGAUUACCGAGUAGGUAAUGUCGCCACUGUUUUAGCGCAUGAAUGACAGCAGCAAGUUCGAGGUCGUGAACUAGGUAGUUCUCUUCGUGAGGGUGCAAUUGCCGAGAGGCAUAAGCAACCACUUUGCGCUCUUGCAUUAGGACACAGCCUAAUCCUUGACGGGAAGCGUCGCAGUAAAUGAUGAAGUCCUUCUUAGUAUCAGGAGGAGCUAGUACCGGGACAGAAGUCAACUUGUCUUGGAGUGCCUGGAAACUUUCCUAACAUUUAUCUGUCCAUUGGAACUUGACGCCCUUAUGCAACAGGUUAGUCAGAGGCCUGGCAAUCUUGGAGAAGUUCUCGACGAAUCGACGGCAAUAGCUGGCGAGACCGAGAAAACUUCUGACUUGCUUGACAUUCUUCGGAGGAGUCCAAUCGAGAAUAGCCUGAACUUGUUCAGGGUUGACGGCAAUACCAUCCUUAGAGAUGACAUGCCCGAGAUAGGUUACUUUGGGAAGCCAGAAUUCACACUUGGAGAACUUGGCAUAUAGCUGAUGCUCUCGUAGCUUUUCCAGCACAAGACGAAGAUGUUCAGCAUGUUCUUCUUCAUUCUUGGAAAAUAUCAGGAUAUCAUCCAGAUAAACCACGACGAACUUGUCGAGGUAAUCCAUGAAUAUAUAGUUCAUCAGGCGAGAGAAGGUGGCUGGAGCAUUGGUUAAGCCGAAAGACAUGACGGUGUACUCGUAUGAACCAUAACGAGUCACAAAGGCGGUCUUGGGGAUAUCCUCCUCACGAACACGGAUCUGGUGGUAACCCAACCUCAAGUCGAGUUUAGAGAACACUGAUGAACCAGACAGUUGAUCAUACAGAGCAUUGAUCCGAGGAAGAGGAUACUUAUUCUGAAUGGUAGCUUGAUUUAUAGGACGGUAGUCUUGGACCAAUCGGUUUGUCCCAUCUUUCUUCUUGACAAAGAGAGAAGGUGCUCCCCAAGGAGAGCAACUUGGGCGAAUGAAACCACUUCGAAGAGAUUUAUCGAUUUCCUCCUUAAGCUCAAGGAGUUCAUGCGGCGGCAUCUUGUAGGGUCGCUUGGCUAUAGGAGUGGUGCCUGGUUUCAAGUCGAUGACGAAUUCGACAGCUCUAGCAGGGGGAAUCCCUGGGAGUUCUUCUGGAAAGACGUCGAGGAAGUCACGCACGACAGGAAUGUUUUCAAUGCCCUCGAGUGGUGCGGCGUUCAAUGCAUUCAAUGCAUAGAGCCUUACCUCGGCAUUCUUAACCAGAUGGGCAUUGUAGCUUAUUAUUUCAUCAGAAGGGUGUAGCAGAUGGACAGUCUUGGUGGCGCAAACGAUAGAAGCAGUAUGCGCUUUUAACCAAUUCAUUCCCAGAAUGAGAUCAAUGCUACAUGACUUCAGUACGAUGGGAGAGACAAGGAAUUCCAGUCCUUCGAUUUCUACAGGGACGUCGUUGCAAAUCAUGGAGGUUCGACAUUGGCCCGCAGGAGUGUGUACUAAUAGUGAAGCAUUCAUGUCCUCACAUUUAACUCCGCCUAUGUUGUCUCAACAUAGCCGGUCCCAAGCCCGGGUAAAGGAGGAGGGUUGUGAUAGGCUUGGCGAGCCAACGUAAAAACUCAGCCACUCUUAUGGAGAUGAAACCCAAAAGAUUUUCGUUGGGGCGUAACCCUCUCAGCGACGCGCCACAUCGGAACCCGGGUGUGGUGGAAAAUGGCCAAGGGCCGGGCCGUCACCCCCCAAGUGGCGCGCCGUAUCUUGAUCCGGAUACGGUGGCAAGUGAGCGAGGAUCGGGUCGUCGCAUCCUUAGUGGCGCGCUACAUCGGCGCCCGGAUGUAGUGGAAAAUGAGCAAGGGUCUUCGCAUUUGACUCGACGAGUGCGAAGGGUAAGGAAGCUAGCCGAGCCUAGGAGGAUUCGCUUAGGUAGCUGGAACGUAGGGUCUCUGACAGGGAAGCUUCGGGAGCUAGUUGAUGCAGCAGUGAGGAGAGGUGUUGAUAUCCUUUGCGUCCAAGAAACCAAAUGGAGAGGACAGAAGGCGAAGGAGGUGGAGGAUACCGGCUUCAAGCUGUGGUACACGGGGACGGCUGCAAACAGAAAUGGCGUAGGCAUCUUGAUCAACAAGAGCCUCAAGUAUGGAGUGGUAGACGUCAGGAGACGUGGGGACCGGAUUAUCCUGGUCAAGCUGGUAGCUGAGGACUUGGUUCUUAAUGUUAUCAGCGCAUAUGCCCCGCAAGUAGGCCACAAUGAGAACACCAAGAGGGAGUUCUGGGAAGGCUUGGAAGACAUGGUUAGGAGUGUACCGAUUGGUGAGAAGCUCUUCAUAGGAGGAGACCUCAAUGGCCACGUGGGUACAUCUAACACAGGUUUUGAAGGGGCGCAUGGGGGCUUUGGCUAUGGCAUCAGGAAUCAAGAAGGAGAAGAUGUCUUAAGCUUUGCUCUAGCCUACAACAUGAUUGUAGCUAACACCCUCUUUAGAAAGAGAGAAUCACAUCUGGUGACUUUUAGUAGUGGCCAACACUCUAGCCAGAUUGAUUUCAUCCUCUCAAGAAGAGAAGAUAGGCGUGCGUGCCUAGACUGUAAGGUGAUACCUGGGGAGAGUGUUGUACCCCAGCAUAAGCUGGUGGUUGCUGACUUCCGCUUUCGGAUUCGUGUCCAGCGGGAUAAGCGUGCCAAGGUCGCUAGAACGAAGUGGUAGAAGCUCAAGGGGGAGGUAGCUCAGGUGUUCAAGGAGAGGGUAUUUAAGGAGGGCCCUUGGGAGGAAGGAGGGGAUGCGGACAAUGUGUGGAUGAAGAUGGCGACUUGCAUUCGUAAGGUGGCCUCGGAGGAGUUUGGAGUGUCCAGGGGAAGGAGAAGCGAAGAUAACGAUACCUGGUGGUGGAAUGAUGAUGUCCAGAAGGCGCUUAAAGAGAAGAAAGAUUGCUUCAGACGCCUAUACCUGGAUAGGAGUGCAGACAACAUAGAGAAGUACAAGAUGGCGAAGAAGGCCGCAAAGCGAGCUGUUGGUGAAGCAAGGGGUCGGGCAUAUGAGGACCUCUACCAACGGUUAGGCACGAAGGAAGGUGAAAGGGACAUCUAUAAGAUGGCUAAGAUCCGGGAGAGGAAGACGAGGGAUAUUGGCCAAGUCAAAUGCAUCAAGGACGGAGCAGGCCAACUCUUGGUGAAGGACGAAGAGAUUAAGCAUAGAUGGCGGGAGUACUUCGACAAGCUGUUCAAUGGGGAGAAUGAGAGUUCUACCAUUGAACUGAAUGACUCCUUUGAUGAGACCAGCAUGCGUUUUGUGCGGCGCAUCCAGGAGUCUGAGGUGAAGGAGGCUUUAAAAAGGAUGAAAGGAGGCAAGGCGAUGGGCCCUGAUUGUAUCCCCAUUGAGGUGUGGAAAGAUCUCGGGGACAUAGCGAUAGUAUGGCUAACCAAGCUUUUCAACCUCAUUUUUCGGGCAAACAAGAUGCCAGAAGAAUGGAGACGGAGUAUAUUAGUACCAAUCUUCAAGAACAAGGGGGAUGUUCAGAGUUGUACUAAUUACCGUGGAAUUAAGCUGAUGAGCCAUACAAUGAAGCUAUGGGAGAGAGUCAUUGAGCACCGCUUAAGAAGAAUGACAAGCGUGACCAAAAAUCAGUUUGGUUUCAUGCCUGGGAGGUCGACCAUGGAAGCCAUUUUCUUGGUACGACAACUUAUGGAGAGAUAUAGGGAGCAUAAGAAGGACUUGCAUAUGGUGUUCAUUGACUUGGAGAAGGCCUAUGAUAAGAUACCGCGGAAUGUCAUGUGGUGGGCCUUGGAGAAACACAAAGUCCCAGCAAAGUACAUUACCCUCAUCAAGGACAUGUACAAUAAUGUUGUGACAAGUGUUCGAACAAGUGAUGUCGACACCGAUGACUUCCCGAUUAAGAUAGGACUGCAUCAGGGGUCAGCUUUGAGCCCUUAUCUUUUUGCAUUGGUGAUGGAUGAGGUCACAAGGGGUAUACAAGGAGAUAUCCCAUGGUGUAUGCUCUUUGCGGAUGAUGUGGUGCUAGUUGACGAUAUAGUCGGACGGGGGUAAAUAGGAAGUUAGAGUUAUGGAGACAAACCUUGGAAUCGAAAGGGUUUAGGCUUAGUAGAACUAAAACCGAGUACAUGAUGUGCGGUUUCAGUACUACUAGCUGUGAGGAGGAGGUUAGCCUUGAUGGCCAGGUGGUACCUCGGAAGGACACCUUUCGGUAUUUGGGGUCAAUGUUGCAGGAGGAUGGGGGUAUUGAUGAAGAUGUGAACCAUCGAAUCAAAGCCGGAUGGAUGAAGUGGCGCCAAGCUUCUGGCAUUCUCUGUGACAAGAGAGUGCCACAAAAGCUAAAAGGCAAGUUCUACAGGACGGCGGUUCGACCCGCAAUGUUGUAUGGCGCGGAGUGUUGGCCGACUAAAAGGCGACAUGUUCAACAGUUAGGUGUGGCGGAGAUGCGUAUGUUGAGAUGGAUGUGUGGCCACACGAGGAAGGAUCGAGUUCGGAAUGAUGAUAUACGAGAUAGAGUUGGGGUAGCACCAAUUGAGGAGAAGCUUGUCCAACAUCGUUUGAGAUGGUUUGGGCAUAUUCAGCGCAGGCCUCCAGAAGCUCCAGUGCAUAGCGGACGGCUAAAGCGUGCGGAGAAUGUCAAGAGAGGGCGGGGUCGACCGAUUUUGACAUGGGAGGAGUCCGUUAAGAGAGACCUGAAGGAUUGGAGUAUCGACAAAGAGCUAGCUAUGGACAGGGGUGCGUGGAAGCUUGCUAUCCAUGUGCCAGAGCCAUGAGUUGGUUGCGAGAUCUUAUGGGUUUCACCUCUAGCCUACCCCAACUUGUUUGGGACUAAAGGCUUUGUUGUUGUUUGUUGUUGUUGUAAGCAUGCAAAAUCUUCUGACAUGAAUGAAUGCGAUGCACCUGUAUCGAAUAAAACAGAUGCAGGUACUGAAUUUACGAGGAGUGUACCCAUCACAGUAGCGGGCUGGUCUUGAGCUUCGUUCAGAUCAACGUGGUUGGCAUGAACACGACCAUAGGACUUGGCAUUGUUGUUGCGGGGCUGGUUGUUACCACGACCAGCUACUGGAAGGGCCAGAUGAUUCUGGUUCUGGUUGCAUUCCCGAGCAUGGUGUCCUGGCUGACCACACCUGAAGCACAGACCAUUAUUGGGAGUGGGAGCAAGAGCUCGGGGUGGUGGAGCUGGAAGCCUUGGCUGCCUAGUUGGAGCAGCCGGCAGACGAGGUGCAGCAUAAGACUGCCUUGGGGUAGGUGCAUUUGGACGGUACAUGCUGUUCGGGAUCCAUAUCUUACGCUUCUGCGAGGGCGGGCCCGAAGAUGAGCCCGUGUCACGGUUGCGCCUUUGAGAGCUCUGGUGUUCUUGCAGACCAGUCUCGACAUUGAUGGCCUUGUUCACCAAGGUGGCGAAAUCGGCAAAGUCAUGCACUAGAAGUGGGAGCUUGAUGUCAGCUUGAAGGCCUUCACGGAACUUCUCCUGUCUGCGAGCAUCAGUUGCAAUGUCUUCUUCAGCAUAGCGGGAUAAGUCCAGAAACUCCCGCUGAUAAGCUUCCACAGUUUUGUUGCCCUGUGUGAGGUUGCGGAACUCACGCUUCUUCCUGUCCAUGAUUCCCUAAGGAAUGAAGCGGGCACGGAAGGCAGCCUGAAAGUCUGGCCAGGAGAUGAUUGUCCCAACUGGCAGAGUACGCCUGUGGCUGUCCCACCAUUGCGCUGCGGGUCCCUUUAGAAAGAAGGAAGCAAAAGUGACAUAGCUGGCAGGGGCUACAUCAGCAGACUCCAUCUCAUAGGUGAUGUCACGGAGCCAGUCAUCAGCAUCCAGCGGCUGGGUUGAGCUGCGGUACACACUUGGGUUGAGGCGUAUGAAAUCCUGCAGAGUUGUUGUGUUUGGAUGCUGGUUCAUAUUGGGGCGAGGAAACUGAGCCAUCACGUUUUCCAUGAACUGGCGAUUCAUCUCAAGCUGUUGGAUCAUACCAGCCAUGUACUCAAGCGGUGGUGGGAAGUUGCCACCAUGACCACGACCAGCUGGUCUAACCAUCCUGUUAAUAUAUAACAGGGGUAGUUCAGUAUUGAGAAAUUUGCAUAGACAAGAGUCAUUCAUGAUGAAACAUGCAUAAUGAAAGGAGCACGACAGAUACCACAUAGAUAGUCGGCAUAACUUACAAAAGGGGUCGGACAUAGAGUUCAGUACACAGAGUUCAGUACAUAGACUAAGUCAUUAUAGGCGGCACGCAGGCUCGCGAAUGCAUCUAAUACUAAUGAGCAAGACUACAUCAGUCCCAGGAGGUACCGUGAAGGUAGCUGUAACCUGACAGCUGGUAGUGAGGCAACGGAUAGUCCCCCACGUCAGUGGCCUGGGGGCCGUGGAUACUCUGGUGUAGAACCCGACGCUCAGGUGGCAGAAGAGGACCAAGUGCGGGAGAGUAGCCUCCCACCUCUGGCCAUCCGACACCGUGGGGCAUCACGGUCCUGGCUGGGUAGAUCGCAGGACGCGGCAGCUGUCCAGACCGGACAAAGGGGUGCAACAGCGUUAGAGCCCUGUAAAGGUGCUGACGAGUGGUGUACAACUCGUGGCGAAGAGCUCUAUUAGCUCGGUCCAGCCCAUCAGCAUGCAGAACCAGGCGCUGAUGGUGGAAGGGCUCUCGGGUGACGGUGGAGUAGGCGGCAGUGUAGUAUCCCUCCGCACCAACGUCAGAUGCGAUAGGAAUGUGCCUGAAAGGGGAAGUGUCCAAUGCCUGAUACUCUCCACGAAGACGUGUUAGAGCAGCAUGAGCAGCAUCGUGGACUGCCAUAUCGAUAGUCACCCCAACACCAUGUGCAGUGUGUAGCACAGUAGUGGAGUCAUACUCCCGAGAGUAGAGGUGGACGAUGGCUCGGUACUGCUCUUGGUUAAAGUCCUGGUACUCCUCAAAGACGGUGUACUCAGGGUGCCAGCGAUAACCCAGAUAGGUCAUCAUCUCAGCUAGCACGGCAGGUGAUCCCGAGGCACCAAUGGCCGUCGUGUGGCGGACGACCUGCCUCGUGGGUUCCAUCUGAAAACAAAGAUGUUUCAAGUGAGUCAAUGAUAGUGUGGAAACCGUCCAAAAUACUAUUCCAAAGAAUACUAUGGCUUUAUCCAACUUUGGGGUGAAUGGGGUCACGGGAUCCUAGUGAUAGUUAGUAAAUUCGUUUAACCCGAGUAGAAAAGAAUUCAGAGUCCCAGAGUAAAGGUCGAGGAGUAAAAGAUCCUAGUACCACCCAAUGGCGACGUGGGCCCGUAAAGCUCACAACCAUGUUAGUAAAAGUUUUGUAGUGACUAGACUCGACUUCGGCCAAGGAGUGUGGAAGGGGGAUUCCUACAGGCAGUCGGCUCUGAUACCAACUUGUGACGCCCCCGUUUCAAUCGUACACUAAUCAUGCACGCAAACAUGUACGAUCAAGAUCAGGGACUCACGGGAAGAUAUCACAACACAACUCUAAAACAUAAAUAAGUCAUACAAGCAUCAUAAUACAAGCCAGGGGCCUCGAGGGCUCGAAUACAAGUGCUCGAUCAUAGACGAGUCAGCGGAAGCAACAAUAUCUGAGUACAGACAUAAGUUAAACAAGUUUGCCUUAAGAAGGCUAGCACAAACUGGGAUACAAAUCGAAAGAGGCGCAGGCCUCCUGCCUGGGAUCCUCCUAAACUACUCCAGGGCGUCGUCAGCAGCCUGCACGUAGUAGUAGGCACCUCCAGUGUAGUAGUCGUCGUCGACGGUGGCGUCUGGCUCCUGGGCUCCAGCAUCUGGUUGCGACAACCAGAAAGGAAGGAAAGGGGGAAAAGGGGGGGGAGAAAGCAAUCGUGAGUACUCAUCCCAAGUACUCGCAAGCAAGGAUCUACACUACAUAUGCAUGGGUAUAUGUGUAAAGGGCCAUAUCAGUGGACUGAACUGCAGAAUGCCAGAAUAAGAAGGGGAUAGCUAAUCCUGUCGAAGACUACGCUUCUGGCAGCCUCCGUCUUGCAGCAUGUAGAAGAGAGUAGAUUGAAGUCCUCCAAGUAGCAUCUUCAAGUAGCAUCUCCAAGUAGCAUCUCCAAGCAGCAUCGCAUAGCAUAAACCUACCCGGCGAUCCUCCCCUCGUCACCCUGUUAGAGAGCGAUCACCGGGUUGUAUCUGGCACUUGGAAGGGUGUGUUUUAUUAAGUAUCCGGUUCUAGUUGUCAUAAGGUCAAGGUACAACUCCAAGUCGUCCUGUUACCGAAGAUCACGGCUAUUCGAAUAGAUUAACUUCCCUGCAGGGGUGCACCAACUUACCCAGCACGCUUGAUCCCAUUUGGCCGGACACACUUUCCUGGGUCAUGCCCGGCCGCGGAAGAUCAACACGUCGCAGCCCCACCUAGGCAAAACAGAGAGGUCAGCACGCCGGUCUAAACCUAAGCGCGCAGGGGUCUAGGCCCAUCGCCCUGAGCACACCUGCAUGUUGCGUGGGCGGCCGGAAGCAGACCUAGCCUAGCAGGCGUUCCAGUCCAAUCCGGCGCGCGCCGCUCCGUCGCUGACAUCUGAAGUGCUUCGGCUGAUACCACGACGCCGGGAUACCCAUAACUACUCCCGCGUAGAUGGUUAGUGCAUAUAGGCUCGUAACCAACUCAGAUCAAAUACCAAGAUCUCGUUAAGCGUGUUAAGUAUCCGCGAACGCCGAACAGGGCCAGGCCCACCUCUCUCCUAGGCGGUCUCAACCUGCCCUGUCGCUCCGCCACAAAGAUCCACACAGAGGGCCGUCAGGACAAAGGUCCUUUCAGCCCCCAAUCCGUGAAUCACUCGCAGGUACUCUUCGAGCUGACCCGACUUUAGUCACCAUCUGUAUAGUAUGUAUGUAUGUAUAGUAUAUACCCGUGAUCACCUCCCGAGUGAUCACGGCCCAAUAGUAUAGCAAGGCAGACUGACAAGAAUGUAGGGCCAAUGAUGAUAAACUAGCAUCCUAUGCUAAGUAUUUAGGAUUGCAGGUAAGGUAUCAACAGAUGUAGCAACAAUGUCAGGCUAUGCAUCAGAAUAGGAUUAACGGAAAGCAGUAACAUGCUACACUACUCUAAUGCAAGCAGUAUAGAGAAGAGUAGGCGAUAUCUGGUGAUCAAGGGGGGGGCUUGCCUGGUUGCUCUGGCAAGAGAGAGGGGUCGUCAACACCGUAGUCGAACUGGGCAGCAGCAGCGUCAGUCUCGUAGUCUACCGGAGAGAAAAGGGGGAAGAAACAAUGAAUACCAUGCAAACAAAUGCAUAUUGAUGCAUGACAUGACAAGUAACGAUGCUAGGUGUGCCCAAUCGCGGUAGUAGGUGAUACCGAUGAAGGGGGAAAACAUCCGGGAAAGUAUUCCCGGUGUUCCGCGUUUUCGGACCGGUGAACCGGAGGGGGAAAGUUGCGUGUUCGGUAUGCUAGGGGUGUGUGGCGGAUGAACGGGCUGCGUAUCCGGAUUCGUCUCGUCGUUCUGAGCAACUUUCAUGUAGAAAGUAUUUUCAUCCGUGUUACGGAUUAAAAGAUAUGAUUUUCUAAAGAUUUAAAUCAUUUUCUGAUUUUAAUUAGUUAUUUAAUUCCAACAUUAUCCAUAACAGUGAAUGAUGACGUCAGCAUGACAUCAGAAUGAUGCCAGCAGGUCAACUGGCCAGUUGACCAGUCAAACCAGACAGGUGGGUCCAGUGGGAUCCACAUGUCAUUGUCAGGGACAUUAACAGAAUUCUAAAACUAAUUAAAUGGGUUAAUUAGUGUGUGGGUCCUAGCAGUCAGUGAGAGAUUAAUGUUUUAAUUAACUAAUUUAAUUAAUUAGCAGUUUAUCUAUUUGUUUUUAUUCUUUUAUGGCAUGGGGCCCGCAUGUCAGUGCCAUUGGGUUGCCCAGUCAGCACGUUGACUGGGUCAACCCAGUCAACGGGGCCCCCAUGGCCCGCUGGCAGUGACCCAGGGGUGGGGCCCGCCUAGCCACGUCGGCGGACGGCGCCGGAACUACGCCGGCGAGGCAAAACGCAGCGGUGCGGCUCGGGAGGUGGCCAGAAAACACCUACAGGGCACCGUUCGUCGAGUUUUCGGGCACGUUCGAGAGCUACGGUUGUGCCGCGUCCAACGGUGAUGAUUGUGGCGGCAGGGGUGACCAGAUUCGAGCGCGGCGAGCUCAUCGCGGACGGCCGGAGUCGGACGCAAGAGGAAACUUCGACGCAGCCCGCUAGCGAGCGAACUGAGAGGCCAGGCGAGGCAUGCGUUAGGUGGCGAAUGCAACGGGCGCUGUCCCGUGACCAUUUGGUCACCGGAAGCACGCCGGCGACGAGCGCAGGCGGCGACGCGUUCGGGCGCUCAUUGGGGACGGCGCUAGGAGGCAUGGGAGGGAGCAUUCGUAGGCGCGUUGGGCUCCUAGGUACCCCACGAGCACAACGGUGAGCUCGGACGAGCGUGACGACGGAUGGGUCCACGGCGGCGAGGUACACCGCGGCGACCGGAGCCCGAGCACGACGACGAGCUAGUUACUGUGCGAGCUAGGGGAGCUAGAGGGCGGAGGAGGGAGGCAGCUCACCUAGCGGCACGCACGAUGGUCGGUGAAUGGGUUAGUAGCUGCAGGGGCGUCGACGGAGAUGAAGAAGAACGGCGGCGACGUUUGUCGGAGCAGAGGAAGAAGACGGCGGCGUCGGGGGGCGUUGCGGUGACUCCGGUCUCCAACGGGUUGCGCCAGACGAGGGAGAGGACGACGGCGGCCCUUGGAGACACCGUGGGGCGGUGAGGUGGGCUCGGUGGCCGUGGUUAGGCCGGAGCCAUGGCGUCGGUGGCGUCCGGAUGCAAGGGGAACGAGGGGGGAGAGGCGCGGUGGAUCUGGAGGGGCGGAGAAAAUAUCUGCAGGGGGGAAGGGGAUCUGACGAGGCCGAGAGGGGGCCGUGGCGGCCUUAUCCUCCCCCGUCGCCGGCGAGUGGGUCCGGUGGCGACCGCGCCCUGUAGCGGCGCGCAUCCGAGGAACAGGAAGGGAGGGGUGUGGGGCGAGGAGCUGGGCCGGCUGGGCCGGCCAGGCUGGCUGCGGGCCAGGGGGCAUGGGCGGUGGCCGUGCGGGUGGUUUGGGCUGCCUGGUCCAGGGGGCUUCCCCCCUUUUUUUGUCUUUUUUUUGUAAUUUCUUUCUUUUAUUUAUUUUCCCUGUCUGUUUUAUUUAGUUUUAGGGCAUUUAGGCAUUUUAUAAAAAGGUGUUUGCUUCACCAUAAUUACCAGUGCAAUAUUUGGCAACCCCCGAACAUUUUCGCUUUGACUUUUGAAAACUUAGGGUGUUUGUCACUAAUUCAUAUUUUGAAUUUGCAAUGAUUUUGAACUACCACUUGAUUAGCAACAGUAACAC
rnacentral:lncRNA from 1 species